rnacentral:misc_RNA from 1 species
UUAAGUUCAGCGGGUAUCCCUACCUGAUCCGAGGUCAACCAUAGAAAAAUUGGGGUUGCUGGCAAGCGUCCACAGGACCCUAUAGCGAGAAAAAUUACUACGCUUAGAGCCAGAUGGCACCGCCACUGAUUUUAAGGCACGCCCUAACGGGUGAGGCCCAAUACCAAGCAGAGCUUGAGGGUUGUAAUGACGCUCGAACA